rnacentral:rRNA from 1 species
UACCAGCACCCCGAGUGGUCGGGACGUUUUAUUGGGCCUAAAGCAUCCGUAGCCGGUUCUACAAGUCUUCCGUUAAAUCCACCUGCUUAACAGAUGGGCUGCGGAAGAUACUAUAGAGCUAGGAGGCGGGAGAGGCAAGCGGUACUCGAUGGGUAGGGGUAAAAUCCGUUGAUCCAUUGAAGACCACCAGUGGCGAAGGCGGCUCACUGGCCCGGUACUGACGCUGAGGUGCGAAAGCGUGGGGAGCAAACAGG